rnacentral:lncRNA from 1 species
AUCCAGGAGUUAGAAGCCACCGAAGAUGCGGCUAACGAAGGCCCAGUCCUGACUCAGUCUCCCUGACCCUUCAAACAGCUGGGAGGGAGAUGCAGGCCUCCCGCCCAUGUGUUUCAAUCCAGUGCUAUUUGUUGUUCUCGGGCUUAUCCAAGGAGGUCAGGCUGAAAUGGUGGAUCCUCUGCUCAGCCACUUGACAAAAAUGAAAGCCAGUCUCCCACAGGGAAAUCGAGGAUGGUAAGCAGAGUUAGAGUGGCAUUUGCAUGUCACAGCCGGAAAACAAGUUGAGAUCACGUGUGCUGUACUCUUUGGCCUUCCUGCCUGGAUAUGUCACACUUUUGAAGCCAAGCGUCUACAAUUCAAUGUUAGGUUAGGUCUUAGGCUGAAUUCUUUGGGAGAAUCAAUUCUCAAAUAAAG